GGGGAGCGCGGCUAUCUGCAGUCGAGCGAGCUUGCCUAGAUGAUUUUGGUGCUUGCACUAAAUGAAACUAGAUACAAGCGAGCGGCGGACGGGUGAGUAACACGUGGGUAACCUGCCCAAGAGACUGGGAUAACACCUGGAAACAGAUGCUAAUACCGGAUAACAACACUAGACGCAUGUCUAGAGUUUGAAAGAUGGUUCUGCUAUCACUCUUGGAUGGACCUGCGGUGCAUUAGCUAGUUGGUAAGGUAACGGCUUACCAAGGCAAUGAUGCAUAGCCGAGUUGAGAGACUGAUCGGCCACAUUGGGACUGAGACACGGCCCAAACUCCUACGGGAGGCAGCAGUAGGGAAUCUUCCACAAUGGACGAAAGUCUGAUGGAGCAACGCCGCGUGAGUGAAGAAGGGUUUCGGCUCGUAAAGCUCUGUUGGUAGUGAAGAAAGAUAGAGGUAGUAACUGGCCUUUAUUUGACGGUAAUUACUUAGAAAGUCACGGCUAACUACGUGCCAGCAGCCGCGGUAAUACGUAGGUGGCAAGCGUUGUCCGGAUUUAUUGGGCGUAAAGCGAGUGCAGGCGGUUCAAUAAGUCUGAUGUGAAAGCCUUCGGCUCAACCGGAGAAUUGCAUCAGAAACUGUUGAACUUGAGUGCAGAAGAGGAGAGUGGAACUCCAUGUGUAGCGGUGGAAUGCGUAGAUAUAUGGAAGAACACCAGUGGCGAAGGCGGCUCUCUGGUCUGCAACUGACGCUGAGGCUCGAAAGCAUGGGUAGCGAACAGGAUUAACCCGGGGGGAGGGCCAAAA
rnacentral:rRNA from 1 species